UGGGGAAUUUUCCGCAAUGGGCGAAAGCCUGACAGAGCAAUGCCGCGUGGAGGUGGAAGGCCUACGGGUUGUCAACUUCUUUUCUCAGAGAAGAAACAAUGGCAGUAUCUGAGGAAUAAGCAUCGUCUAACUCUGUGCCAC
rnacentral:rRNA from 1 species